AUUCGCGGCCUAUCAGCUUGUUGGUGAGGUAAUGGCUCACCAAGGCGACGACGGGUAGCCGGCCUGAGAGGGCGACCGGCCACACUGGGACUGAGACACGGCCCAGACUCCUACGGGAGGCAGCAGUGGGGAAUAUUGCACAAUGGGCGAAAGCCUGAUGCAGCGACGCCGCGUGAGGGAUGACGGCCUUCGGGUUGUAAACCUCUUUCAGCAGGGAAGAAGCGAAAGUGACGGUACCUGCAGAAGAAGCACCGGCUAACUACGUGCCAGCAGCCGCGGUAAUACGUAGGGUGCGAGCGUUGUCCGGAAUUAUUGGGCGUAAAGAGCUUGUAGGCGGUUUGUCGCGCCUGCUGUGAAAAUCCGGGGCUCAACCCCGGACUUGCAGUGGGUACGGGCAGACUAGAGUGUGGUAGGGGAGACUGGAAUUCCUGGUGUAGCGGUGAAAUGCGCAGAUAUCAGGAGGAACACCGAUGGCGAAGGCAGGUCUCUGGGCCACUACUGACGCUGAGAAGCGAAAGCAUGGGGAGCGAACAGGAUUAGAUACCCUGGUAGUCCAUGCCGUAAACGUUGGGCGCUAGGUGUGGGACUCAUUCCACGAGUUCCGUGCCGCAGCUAACGCAUUAAGCGCCCCGCCUGGGGAGUACGGAAU
rnacentral:rRNA from 1 species